rnacentral:tRNA from 1 species
GAAGGUAUAGCUCAGUGGUAGAGUAUGUGCUUAGCGUGCAUGAGUUCCUGGAUUCAAUCCCCAACACCUCCA